rnacentral:lncRNA from 1 species
AUUUUUAGUUACUCCAAAGAAAUAACACUUUUAAAUAGAAGCAAAAGGUUUAUAGUCUGCAAAUUGUGGAUUUAUCAAUUACCUCAGCAGGUAUCCUGCCAUGUAACUAUUAAUGAUUAGUUUUAAUAAGCCAGUAGUCUUAGGUUUAUUGGACUAUGCUCUUGGGUUGUGGCCUACCAUCCAUUAUUCUCUUAGUAUUUAAAAUGGAGUAAAUGCUGUGGCCCCAUCUCCCUUGGCCUUUUAAAAUCCCUUAUCCAUGCCCACUAAUAUACAACAUAUGAAGUAUAAAAAAUGCCAUUUCUUGAGGUCAGCACUGCUUAUUUGCAUACUCAACAUUGGAUCAGUGAGUAGUUUUAUAGUAGUCUACCCUCCCCAACUUCCCUAAUUCAAACAAUCAGGUUCUUAAGUCAUGCCACGAAUUCUUAACUCAUACUGUCUAUAUUAAUAAUCUGCUUGAGGUGAUCCAAGGUGUUAGGUGAAUCACAACUUGAUCAUCAUAUACCAGACCUGGAUGUUUAUUUCCCACAGUUACCUUCUCCUUGAUAAAGCAAUAACACUGCUUUAAGUCUGUUGCCUAAUAGCAUGUCAUAAUCCUCUCGUGGAUGGUGAUUUUAUAGGAAAGUUUGUAUGCAUAUCACCCAAUCUAUCUUUUAAAAAUUAAGGAAUUUAAAUGUAUGCUGGACCUAAUGACAAUAUAUUGUGGCAUUUUAUUUUAAAAAUUGGGGAAAGUUGCAUAUUUUUUUAAAAGUAGGCAUUUGAGUAAAAAAAUCGAAGGUACUUUUUUAAGAAAAUUUAUAUGCCACAGUUUACAUAGACAUUUCAGAUUUCAACAUAUACUCUUGAUAUAAUGGUUUCUUUUACUUGGUCAAAAUGCACGUAUAGUAUUUCUUCCAUCUUAGUUCCUUGUGUUUGCCUUUGUGGUCUUUUAUAUAUUUUUAUUGUAUCUGAGAAAGAAAAUUAUCUUCAAAAAUAAGUCAAUUUGGAAAUAUUUAUUAUAAUCAAACUACAAAAUGUACAAAAUUAAGUUUAGCCCUUUUCUAGCAAGUGAUCUUUAAAGUUAAAAAUGCUGUUCUUUUAAAUUCUCCAGAUUUGUAUGUGGGAGGGCACUGGAAUGAUCUUGCAAGUGCCACUGCAAUAUUCCCUUUCAAGUGUGGCCUAAAUUUCAAUCUUAAGGACGAAAUGCAUGUCUGCUCCUGGUCUGAAAAUGUAGGCAUUAAUUAUAUUUUAAAUCACAGUGAAACAUGUAUAUAAGCCUAUAACAAGAUUUGUGCAAUUUGAAAGCCUUUUGAUUUUCUUUGUAGACGUACCUACACACGAAAGGGUUAAACUCACAGCCUUACUAGUUCCUUGUUUCCCCUCAUUAUUGUUCCCCUCUUCUCUCUCCUCAUUAUUAUUACUAAUACUACAGUUAAUUUUUUUUGCACAUAGUUAACUACCCUUCAAUAUGAUUCUGAAAGAGAAAGUGCUGUUUCUGUGGUAUUGUAUUCUCUAAAUAAUCAUAUUUAAUUUUUUUGAAACAAGGUUGCAGUUUCUAAUUGUUCUAUUCCUGUGUUUUUUGCUGGUGUGUAAUAAAAGCAAGGUUUUCUUUUCAUGGUUAUUUAAUACAUUAGCUGCCUGUAAAUAUUUCUUGUUAUAAUGCUCUGGAAUGUGUUGUAGAAGUUGUAUUAGAUUAGUUUAAAACCUUGUUUGAAAGCCACGUUGUUUUGGUUAUUUCUAUUAAAUUAGAAAAUUGAAAAA